AAUUUUGGACAAUGGGGGAAACCCUGAUCCAGCCAUCCCGCGUGUAUGAUGAAGGCAUUAGGGUUGUAAAGUACUUUUGGCUGUGAAGGAAAGGUAACUCCUAAUACGAGAUACUGCUGACGGUAUCUGCAGAAUAAGCACCGGCUAAUUACGUGCCAGCAGCCGCGGUAAUACGUAGGGUGCAAGCGUUAAUCGGAAUUACUGGUCGUAAAGCGUGUGUAGGGGGUUCGGAAAGAAAGAUGUGAAAUCACAGGGCUCAACCUUGGAACUGCAUUUUUAACUGCCGAGCUAGAGUAUGUUAGAGGGGGGUAGAAUUCCACGUGUAGCAGUGAAAUGCGUAGCUAUGUGGAGGAAUACCGAUGGCGAAGGCAGCCCCCUGGGAUAAUACUGACGCUCAGACACGAAAGCGUGGGGAGCAAACA
rnacentral:rRNA from 1 species